UGCGUAGGCGGACUAAUAAGUCAGUGGUGAAAUCUCUCGGCUCAACCGGGAAACUGCCAUUGAUACUGUUAGUCUUGAGUUCGGUUGAGGUAGGCAGAAUGUGUAAUGUAGCGGUGAAAUGCUUAGAUAUUACACAGAACACCAAUUGCGUAGGCAGCUUACUAGACCGACACUGACGCUGAUGGACGAAAGCGUGGGGAGCGAACAGGAUUAGAUACCCUGGUAGUCC
rnacentral:rRNA from 1 species